UACGUAGGGUGCAAGCGUUAAUCGGAAUUACUGGGCGUAAAGCGUGCGCAGGCGGUUUUGUAAGUCUGUCGUGAAAUCCCCGGGCUCAACCUGGGAAUUGCGAUGGAGACUGCAAGGCUGGAGUCUGGCAGAGGGGGGUAGAAUUCCACGUGUAGCAGUGAAAUGCGUAGAGAUGUGGAGGAACACCGAUGGCGAAGGCAGCCCCUGGGUCAAGACUGACGCUCAUGCACGAAAGCGUGGGAGCAACAGGAU
rnacentral:rRNA from 1 species